AACGAACGCUGGCGGCGUGCCUAACACAUGCAAGUCGCACGAGAAAUCCUGGGCAACCGGGAGAGUAAAGUGGCGCACGGGUGAGUAACGCGUGGGUAACCUACCCUCCAAUUGGGGAUAACUCUCCGAAAGGGGAGUUAAUACUCAAUAAUAUUCCGAUCUCUGAGGGGAUUGGAAUCAAAGGUGGCCUCUGCAUGCAAGCUACCGUUGAAGGAUGGGCCCG
rnacentral:rRNA from 1 species